GAACACAGAGAAAGGGCACCUAAGAUUCUGAGAAGUCAGCAGGGCAUCUGUCGUCAUGGAACUUAAGUGGAUCCUUGAAGAAGGAGUCAGGGGAAAAGGACAGAACUGAUUUCACCCAGAGGCUAUAAGAGUUUACGAUACACUUAUUGGAUCUACAGACAGAAAGUAAAGUGGAGGAAAAUCUAGAAAUACUAAGUCACAAAAUCAACAGAACCUACUCUCUGGCAAUCUGGAGGAUGAUGGAAACAAAAAUGGACAGCGUGGAAAAACAGAGCAUAUGAUUAUACAUUUCUGGUGUCGCCAGUGUGUGAACAACAGUCUCAGUGAAGGCUAUUUCACUGAACUUUGCUUCUGA
rnacentral:lncRNA from 1 species